GGGGGUGGGGACGCCCUGUGAGUGGAGCAGGCAGGCUGGGUAGGCGAGCUCUCAUUAAAGGAGGACGAUGUUGAGUGCUGGCUAUGGGAAGGAGGAGAACCAGAGGACUGAACUCCAGAUAUAACCCAAACAUGGGAGAGGAAACCCAGACAUGAUUGGAGGAAGUUGUCUCUCUGGCCCACAUGUCCUGAGACACUGAGGGCUCACAGCUGCAGCGUCUUCUGGCCUCAUUGUGAUGUUCCGACUUCAUCCACAAGGGCCACGAGCACCUCCUCCUUAAAAUGAAGCGUUUCCUUUGGUCCCAACCGAGAGGACGGAACAGCUGGGCAGAGGUUCUGAAGGCCAAAGAGAGGCUGCACGUGCGAAUCCUGAUGAGAAUGCAUUUGGAAACAGAGGCCACAGAAGCCUGGCUGGUGCCUCUGGCCAUUUCACUGGCUGGCGGUAACAAUAAAAACUUGUGACCUGGUGGCCUAGGGAGCCAGAUCUCUCUGGCCAACUGUGUGGUUUAAGUGCCAGCCCAAGAGGCUUGAAA